GCUUGCUGAGGGGCCUUUGAUGAGACGCAGCGAUAGCCCGCUCUGCAGCAGGCAGAUAGCAAGAGCUUAAUUAGCUCUGUCUUGCUAAGCUGGAGCCGCAGCAGCCGCCUGCCCUGAUUACACAGUGAAGCAGAGAGGCUGGAAGAAUUUCAUUAGGCUCUGGCUCUAUUGCCAGGCUGGGGCUCCCCGUCCCCCAUUACAGGGGUUCUUGGCUCCAUGGCUGGAGAGCAGCUUAGCACAGCCUGCCCUGGGCCUUCGAAAUCCCAGCAUCUGGAUUCAGAAGGCUGGCCCGAGGGCAGGGAGUGCAGUCUCCCGAGCAGUGGCUAGCUAAUGAUAAAGACGACAUGGCAAAGUGGUAGAAGAGUCAGGCUGGGGGGCUGCCAACCCUGACUCUAUCCAUAUGAAUUCAAUAGAUGCUGUCCGGCACAGAGAGACCUGUCCGAGCCCCCCCAGCUCCAUAGCAUCUCGCUGUGUCCCACAGUGACACUGCCCGCCCCAGCAACAGUAAUACACUCACGUGUUCCUGUUGAAGGCAGCAAGUCUAGCGGUUAGAGCACGAGCGGGCUGGGAUUCAGGACAUCUGUUCCUGGAUUUGCCACUUGGGCGAGUCACUUUGCCACCUGUCAAACGGGAGAACUGUUGGGGACUUGAGAACAUGCUGUUGACUGGCCGGAAGCCCUCAGACGAACCCGCGCAGUGUUGGGAUGGGAUUUAAAGCGUGACUUGCAUCCAGGAGGGCGGCCCCCAUCGUGCCUUAGCAGGCACCAAGCGUGAUGCUGGAACGAGGUCAGCAGGGAACAUUCUGCUGUUGAGGAGUGUGGGGUGUAUGGGUAUGUCAGAGCAGCGCUAAAUGCCUUCAAGACUACCUGGAGGGGCCAGAUCCCUAGGCUCUGUUGACUUUAAGGGAUCUACAUCGAUUUACACCAGCUGGGCUCUGGCCCUCAGUCCCUGCAUUUGAGUGACUCAGAACUUUCCCAGGGUUUCUCUCCAACUCUGAAAUUUGCUUUGUCUCGGUUCCAGAGCGGAUUGGUUCUUCUUCUUUUUAGCCAAGCGGGAAGAAAAUCCACGUCUCUGCUUUGGAGUUGGACAAGCACCAGGGGGAAGAAAACAGCCACGACAUUUUAUGCUUGAAAAACAAACCCAAUGCUUCUGUUGUUCUGACACUUGCGGGUUACAAGGGGCCGUGUUUGAAAACGUCAAGCUCGGGAGGGUGUUUCAUCCGGCAGGAAGGACGUGUGCGCUGCCUUGUUUGAAGGCAGUGGGUUUUGAAGUCACAAAGUGUGGAGCUGUUGUUGUUGGUAAUGCCUCAAACAUGCUCAGCGUGCCGCUUGAAAGGACGGGUCUGCUCGGAAAGUGACCGGGUAAAAAUAGCACCUUCUUACUCAGCAGAUCUGGUCAGAGUCAUCAGAGCUGCUGAUUGGAGUGAUUAAAACAAGUGUUUACUGAUUGGAAUCACCAUUAGCCCUGCCCGGCCGGCCCAGCAAGGGGAGAGGAAGCUGGUUACUAUCCCAUGAGCCCUGCCUGGCCGGCCCAGCGACGGGAGAGGGAGCUGGAUUCUGUCCCUUGCUGUGGAUCCUUGGCGCUGUUACCUUCCAGCCAUAGAGGGAAUGGGCCUGAAAGGUGGAGAAUAGCCAGAGCGCCAUUAACUCAUCCCCCAUUAAAGCCCCUCUGCGCUGCCAGAGCAACACACAUGGACCUGAGCACCACUGAGAACCAGCCCUUUGGAGCCCAGGCAGAGCCAGUAGGGCUGGACCUCAGCAUAGACCAUCAUUUUGGUUGUAGGCUGAGCUGGAUGGGUGGAUGGGAUGGGGGAAGGGGUGCUGGCAGCCAGAUGGGCCGUGCUUUCUUGGUGCCAUACAGCAAAUUGUUAUUUUUACACCCCCAGAAGCGAUUCACAUCUAAUCUGUGUAUCCGUCCCCAUCUGCAUCCCUCUCCCUAUCUAUGCUGCUCAUGUCCCGAGUCAUAAAAACCUUCCUGAUCUUUUCA